rnacentral:tRNA from 1 species
UCCUUGGUGGCUUAGAGGUUAAACCGUCUGCCUGCAAUGCAGGAGACCUGGGUUCGAUCCCUGGGUUGGGAA